rnacentral:lncRNA from 1 species
UGCUUAUUCUUCAAUUUUCUAUGUUGUGUCUUGUGUACUAUAAUUAUUAGUAUGUUUGUCUUUUUCAUGUUUAGCCAUGGCGUUGUCAGUUCAUUUUUGAUUUAUGAGUUUGACUGUCCCUCUGGUAUCUUUCGUCCCUCUUUUGAAAUGAUAUUAAUAGAAUUACAGCAUUAUCAUCAGUAUCAUCUGCAUUAUUUAAACAGAAAAGAUCUAAAGCUCUCUGCACUUGUUGACAUUGUAUAUAGAUUUUAAAAAUGAACUCUAGAGAAUGUACAAUGACUUAUUAUGUCUUGUAUGUUUUGAGAAGACCUAAAGAAUGUUUUUCUUUGAUCGUGACCGGUCGUUCAUACGUAGCUUCAGUGAACUCUGAUGUAUAGUUGUAUCAUUGGCAAUCAUACAACAUCUCCUUAAUAUUUUAUACUUCAGUAUUUA